rnacentral:rRNA from 1 species
CAUGGCUUUUUGAUAAUGAUUUUAGGUCUAAUCUGCUCUAUGAUUAGUUAAAUGGCCGCAGUAUACUGACUGUGCAAAGGUAGCAUAAUAAGUUGGUUUUUAAAUGAUAUCUGGUAUGAAUGAUUGGACGAGAGAGUGACUGUCUUUAUAUUAAAUGUUGAAUUUUAUUUUAAGUGAAAAUUCUUAAAUGAUUUUAAAAGACAAGAAGACCCUAUAGAAUUUUAUAAUUUUAAUUAAUUUGGAUUUUUAGUAUUUAUUUUUUUUUUUUGGUUUGAUUUAUUUGGUUGGGGUCAUUUUUAAAUUUAGUGAAUUUUAUUUAUUUAUUUACGUUAAUAAUUGAUUUUUUGAUUCAUUUUGUGAUUUUAGAUUAAAUUACCUUAGGGAUAACAGCGUUAUAUUUUUGGAAAGUUCAUAUUUAUAAAAAUGAUUGCGACCUCGAUGUUGGAUUAAAAUUUAUUUAAGGUGUAGGGGCUUUAUAAUUAGGUCUGUUCGACCUUAGAAUUUUUACAUGAUCUGAGU